rnacentral:snRNA from 1 species
NNAGAAAAGAUUAGUAUGGCCCCUGCACAAAGCUGACAUGCAAAUUUGUGAAGCCUUCCAUAUUUUU